AACUGAGGCUAGGACUAACAACAUGCAACACCACAUAUGGGUGAGUAUUUUCAAUUUACAACUUGAAUGAAAAAGUUUUCUAGGAAGAAAUAAAGAAGCAGCUUUAGCCAACAAGAACAAGCUUUAACCAACAAGAUCCUUUCAAGACAUCAAAUGCAUAGUCAUCCCUUAGGCCUCUGCCAGCUGCACAGUGCCCAGGGCUCUGGUCUCCUCUGACCAUGCUCAGUGGCACCUGGUAUUUAUUGAGAACUUAGCAAUGUCAGGCCAAAUGCUUCUGUUCGUGAUUUGACCCAGUCCUUACAACUGCUCUGUGAGAUCAGAUUUAUGACUCUCAAUUUACUAAAAAAGAAACUGGCGAUUUGAAAGAAGAAAUGACCCACUAAGGCCAUGUUAGGAAUGUCUUGAUGAGCCAAGGCUUCCUCCAGAGCUGAUUCUGGGGUCAGUGCUGCCAUCCAAUGUGCCUGGUCACUAAAGAACUUCAGUUCCUUGUGGAAUGGGUCCAGAUGCCCCACCCCCCAAAAGUUCAAUACGUUACAUGCUCCUUGAGACCCUGUAAUUUUUUUUAAGCCAACAAAUGACUGAACCAAAUAACAAAAAACUAUUUGAAUGAAAGCCAAGCAUGUUUGUUCACACCAAUUAUCUCAGCACUUGGUCUGAGGCACGUUGGUUGCUGUAAUUUUAAGGCCAGCCAUGGACCAUGGCAAGCUCAAGGCCAAUAUUGGCUAUAGCACGAGACUGUCUCACAAAACAAAAGAAAAUGACUGUUGAAAUUAAAUAUGUACAUAGA